UGCCAGUUGUCCUCUAGACUUAAUGAAGAAUGUUGAUGCUGUCCAAGCCAAGAACUGGUGUUCUUCAGUUGACAUGUAGUUCAUUUGCGGAGCUUGCUCAGGUCACGUACUUUGUCAGCACCAAUAAAGAUGAUUCACAGCACUUGCAGCUAUUUAAACAAGCAGAGCCGUCCUCCCUCCCAAAGGUUCACACUAGGCACUGGGCUUUGUAAUCCCACAGAAUCAUGGAAGCUCAAAAAGACAACUAAGAUCAUCAGAUCCAAGCAUCAGGUAUAGGCCGAAGAGGAAGAGAAAGGCAGACAAUGUGAAACAGCCUUUUCUCUCUCUGUCUGUUCCCAAGUCCUGCAUCAUUCCUGGUUCUGCAAGAUGUGAUGAAAGUACUCAUCAUAAUAAAAAAGCCGCAUCAUCUAUCAGAUGCUGAGGGAAACAACAAACGAAAAAAUUCACCAACUGGAAACAGCCCGUCUGCCACAUCAGCACCAACACGUGAUCAGAAGUUAUCGAUCCUAGAGUAAAUGAGGUCAGCUCUCCAGGACUUCAAUUUCCCUAUACAAGGCAGUGGGAGCUAUGCAAGAGGUCUGAACACUGGAGGGCCCCAGCGAGAAGAGAGUUGCAGAGGUGCUCUGUUGCUUGUGGAGUGGUCAGGGCUGGGACUGUCAGAAGCUCAGUGCAUAUUUUGUCUCUGGCCAGUGCAACAGAGGGAAGGGG